AUUGAACGCUGGCGGCAGGCCUAACACAUGCAAGUCGAACGAGUGGCGGACGGGUGAGUAAUGCUUGGGAAACUGCCUGAUGGAGGGGGAUAACUACGGGAAACUGUAGCUAAUACCGCAUACCAUCGGAUGUGCCCAGGUGGGAUUAGGUAGUUGGUGGGGUAACGGCUCACCAAGGCGACGAUCCCUAGCUGGUCUGAGAGGAUGACCAGCCACACUGGGACUGAGACACGGCCCAGACUCCUACGGGAGGCAGCAGUGGGGAAUAUUGCGCAAUGGGGGCAACCCUGAUGCAGCCAUGCCGCGUGUAUGAAGAAGGCCUUCGGGUUGUAAAGUUCUUUCGGUAGGGAGGCGUUACCCACAGAAGAAGCACCGGCUAACUCCGUGCCAGCAGCCGCGGUAAUAC
rnacentral:rRNA from 1 species